rnacentral:rRNA from 1 species
GAGGGUGCGAGCGUUAAUCGGAAUUACUGGGCGUAAAGCGCAUGCAGGUGGUUUGUUAAGUCAGAUGUGAAAGCCCGGGGCUCAACCUCGGAAUAGCAUUUGAAACUGGCAGACUAGAGUACUGUAGAGGGGGGUAGAAUUUCAGGUGUAGCGGUGAAAUGCGUAGAGAUCUGAAGGAAUACCGGUGGCGAAGGCGGCCCCCUGGACAGAUACUGACACUCAGAUGCGAAAGCGUGGGGAGCAAACAGGAUUAGAUACCCUGGUAGUCCACGCCGUAAACGAUGUCUACUUGGAGGUUGUGGCCUUGAGCCGUGGCUUUCGGAGCUAACGCGUUAAGUAGACCGCCUGGGGAGUACGGUCGCAAGAUUAAAACUCAAAUGAAUUGACGGGGGCCCGCACAAGCGGUGGAGCAUGUGGUUUAAUUCGAUGCAACGCGAAGAACCUUACCUACUCUUGACAUCCAGAGAACUUUCCAGAGAUGGAUUGGUGCCUUCGGGAACUCUGAGACAGGUGCUGCAUGGCUGUCGUCAGCUCGUGUUGUGAAAUGUUGGGUUAAGUCCCGCAACGAGCGCAACCCUUAUCCUUGUUUGCCAGCGAGUAAUGUCGGGAACUCCAGGGAGACUGCCGGUGAUAAACCGGAGGAAGGUGGGGACGACGUCAAGUCAUCAUGGCCCUUACGAGUAGGGCUACACACGUGCUACAAUGGCGCAUACAGAGGGCGGCCAACUUGCGAAAGUGAGCGAAUCCCAAAAAGUGCGUCGUAGUCCGGAUUGGAGUCUGCAACUCGACUCCAUGAAGUCGGAAUCGCUAGUAAUCGUGGAUCAGAAUGCCACGGUGAAUACGUUCCCGGGCCUUGUACACACCGCCCGUCACACCAUGGGAGUGGGCUGCAAAAGAAGUAGGUAGUUUAACCUUCGGGGGGACGCUUACCACUUUGUGGUUCAUGACUGGGGUGAAGUCGUAACAAGGUAGCGCUAGGGGAACCUGGCGCUGGAUCACCUCCUUAAACGAUGAU